GACGUAGGGGACGAGCGUUGUCCGGAUUCAUUGGGCGUAAAGCGCGCGUAGGCGGUUACGCAAGUCGGUUGUGAAAAUCCGGGGCUCAACCCCGGACCUGCAUCCGAUACUGCGUGACUAGAGGUAGGUAGGGGGAGAUCGGAAUUCCUGGUGUAGCGGUGAAAUGCGCAGAUAUCAGGAGGAACACCGGUGGCGAAGGCGGAUCUCUGGGCCUUACCUGACGCUCAGGCGCGAAAGCCAGGGGAGCGAACGGG
rnacentral:rRNA from 1 species